CUGACUUGGCAUUUGACGGAAUCUGUUAAAAAAUUUAACAGAAUUUGACGCCAGGGAUCGAUUUGUAAUUAUUGCAUACCACGAGGAUCUCCCAGUAAUUUUUUAAACCAUAGGGAGUAAAAAAUAAUUAUGGAAUACCACAGGGACCAACGGUGCAAUUUUCCCUUAAUUACUUUAAAGAGAAUUAAAAUAUGAAGAAAGCAAAAUAAACUUAACAUUCGCCAGUGCUAAAGGAUAUUAGACAUUCUUUUGUGCUUUGGCUUGCUUUUCAUGGUGCUUUGAUCACAAAGGAAAAAAAGUGCAGCUGGGGUUUUAAUGUAGGCGUAUCUGGUAUACUAUCAUGAGGGACUGUUCAAUACCUUGCCCCCCCUGUUGAGUGGGACGAUAUUGCAGAUUGGUGUGGUUCGGUAAUGAAGGGGAAUAGUUUCUAUGCUAGUUUCAGGAAACUAUAUUUUGGGGCUGCUGUUUACCACCUAUGGAGACAGAAGAAUCUUCUUCUUCACGGCAAGACUCCUUUGACCGAAGAGAGGAUUAUCUCCAAGAUUAGAUGGAAGGUGAAGACUAGAAUGGUUUAUAAAUUCCUUUCGAAAUUUCCUUGUAACCGUAGAUGAUGGCCUGUUGAUGGUGUUUUCUGCAGAUUUCUUUUCUGUUUGUUGGUGUUUGCUGCUAUGCAGGUCUGGUUUUCUGUGGGAGGGGGUUGUGUGUGUAUUAGGUUAUUGUUUGUUGCAUGUGGUAGUGGUUUAGCAGGUUCUUUUUCUGUUCAAGUUGUGUUCCUUGCUUGGGGAUUGUCCUAUGCAGGAUUUGUAUCUAGUUUUAACUGGAGCGUAAGGAUGUUGAGUUUUGAGCUUAUGAAGGGUUUUUAUUCAUCUAAAAAAGUGGAGGUGGGGGAAUAAAUUCAAAAGGCAGAAUUCUACACCGUACAA